rnacentral:rRNA from 1 species
UACGGAGGGUGCGAGCGUUGUUCGGAAUUACUGGGCGUAAAGAGCGUGUAGGCGGUAUGGUAAGUCAGAUGUGAAAGCCCUGGGCUUAACCCAGGAAGUGCAUUUGAUACUGCUAUUCUUGAGUAUGGGAGAGGUGAGUGGAAUUCCCAGUGUAGAGGUGAAAUUCGUAGAUAUUGGGAGGAACAUCCGUGGCGAAGGCGACUCACUGGACCAAUACUGACGCUGAGACGCGAAAGCGUGGGGAG